UUUUGCGCGCGAGGAGCACUGCAGGGGAGCGGACGGCGCGUGAGAGUGCGGGGAAGAAUGUGCACCUGAGCGAGCGUGGGGGUGCGGGGGUGUGUGUGCGUGUGCAGGGGUGUGUGUGCGUGUGCGCAGCGCGUGGCGCUGCUGGAAUCCCGCCUACACGUUGAUCUUAUUCGAUCGGGCCGGGGGCGGCCGCCCGGCCCGAGAUGAGAAGACCCCUCCCGCGAAGCCCGCGGGCGCUGUGCGGGGCAGAGUUGGAGGCCGCAGCCGGCUCGCCCGGCGCUCAGAGGUGAUGAGUCGAUCAGAUAGAUGAGGCCGCGGGGCGGGUCCGCGCUGGCCCGAGCCCCCGGCCCAUGAGUAUCGAGGCGAUUCUGAUCUGA
rnacentral:snoRNA from 1 species